CCCGGGCAGGUGACUCCAGGAAGUGCAGCGAGUACAGCAAACUUCCCACCGUGUGCGUGCGUGUGAUCAGGAUCCACGUUUAGUCGAGUUCUUUGUGCUGCGCAGACAGCAGCAGGAAACAGGAGGCACCUGUAGAGCUGCACAAACACCUGAGGCCCUCAGAGAAUCCGUGUUAUUUACGCCUGCAGUUACUUCCUGGUUCAAAAGCUUCCGUCUGCUGGGACGUUUUGAUCAGUGAGGCAACAGCUGAUCCCUGUUUGUAACAACGCGUGUAACAAUGUGUGUAACAAUGUGUGUAACAAUGUGUGUAACAAUGUGUGUACAUGAAUGGCUUCAACCUGUCGAGAUGAUUAUCUUCGUAUUCACCUGCAGGCCGGAAACCGUUUAUACUCCGCCACAUCAAAUGACACUCUCUGGGAUUGUCCGUCUCACCUGUGGGCUGUUACAGGUGCUUUAAAUCAUCCUCACAGUAACGUCACGUCUCAGUACCUGUGAGGUAAUCGCACUUUAACUAACGUCACAGCUCAGGACUCUCUGGAGCCGCGUCAAAUCAAAAACAACCUGCAGAGUCACUGCUUCCCGGCUCAGUCGACCAAAACCACAACCUACUUUCAUCUGACCAUCUGAAGGCUGCAGAAUGAACCCAAGUCAGGAAAAUCACAUCGCACAGCUUACAAAAUACCACGGACGCAAAAAACUAUUAUUCGUCAUCGUUGUUUCUCAGAAGCUGUGAAUGUCAGCGAUGUCGGAAAAGCCAAAGAUAUUUAAUUUAAUAUAACGAAGAGGUGGAAGCAGCAGAGAAGAUGAAACCAGAGAAUAUUUAGUGAUUUUUGUAUUAAGUUUGAGGAUUGCCAGAAGAAUGAAUCCAAUCUUUUACUUUAAAAGUUUUGUAAUUUUCUGUCAUCAUCAGAACAUUAACAACAGAAUAAUCGUGGAUGAGGUGAUGCAGCGCGGCAUGAGUGUUCUUUCAUGGAUUGUUUGGCAUGUUUUUACAAAAGGGGUCAAUUGGGGUCCCCUAUCAUAUCAUUAAUUAAGUGUAGCAGGGCCUUUCAUGCAUUAAAGCUGCGUUCUGUG
ensembl:lncRNA